GCUUACGGCCAUACCACCCUGAACACGCCCGAUCUCGUCUGAUCUCGGAAGCUAAGCAGGGUCGUGCCUGGUCAGUACUUGGAUGGGAGACCGCCUGGGAAUACCAGGUGCUGUAAGCU
ensembl:rRNA 5S_rRNA 5S ribosomal RNA